rnacentral:rRNA from 1 species
AGUGAACGCUGGCGGCAGGCCUAAUACAUGCAAGUCGAACGGCAGCACAGUGGAGCUUGCUCCAUGGGUGGCGAGUGGCGGACGGGAGAGGAAUACAUGGGAAUCUGCCCAGUCGUGGGGGAUAACGUAGGGAAACUUACGCUAAUACCGCAUGCGACCUUCGGGGGAAAGCCGGGGACCUUCGGGCCUGGCGCGAUUGGAUGAGCCCAUGUUCGAUUAGCUAGUUGGCGGGGUAAAGGCCCACCAAGGCGACGAUCGAUAGCUGGUCUGAGAGGAUGAUAGCCACACUGGGACUGAGACACGGCCCAGACUCCUACGGGAGGUAGCAGUAGGGAAUAUUGGACAAUGGGCGCAAGCCUGAUCCAGCCAUGCCGCGUGAGUGAAGAAGGCCCUCGGGUUGUAAAGCUCUUUUGUCCGGGAAGAAAAGCAUCGGGCUAAUACCUCGGUGUUCUGACGGUACCGGAAGAAUAAGCACCGGCUAACUUCGUG